GGUACUUAGCACAGUGCCAUAGUUACAGUGAACACAGGCACUGCCCAGGACAGGCCUUUGUUGAACAAAAGCUCAAUUCAUAAAUUAAUCAGAGACCAUAAUGGAUUCUGGUCUCAGAAGAUGUAGGUCAUGGACUGCCAGUGCCACAAAGGUUUUCAAAGGAAUUCCUGGAACACUGCAACUGCUGGACAAAGAUUCUUCUCUGUAACACACUGAAAACUAAAGAGAAAUGAAAACUACAGGCACUUUGGUUGGCAAAUAAUGAUUGCUUCUCAUGGGAACAUCAUGCAA